rnacentral:lncRNA from 1 species
CCCGGCACAUGUUCUGCAGCCCAUCUCUCUGUUCUGAUCCCCUUUCUAUAACCUUUUUUUUUUUUCUUUAGCACCAACCCAUAGGAUCUCAUUCCUGCUGCCGCUCUCUUUGAGAUUGUUCCUGCCCUGCCCACAGUGCUUCCGGCCACCAUUUUCCAAGUUGAAAAUCAAGAGUUUUGGCUCGGCGAACGCUUCGUCUUAAGGUAAUUGCAGCAUAAUUCCCUAAUUUUGUUAGGGACUUGGAUUGAUAGAG